AUGCUCGCUUCGGCAGCACAUAUAUUAAAAUUGGAACGAUACAGAGAUUAGCAUGGCCCCUGCGCAAG
ensembl:snRNA U6 U6 spliceosomal RNA